rnacentral:misc_RNA from 1 species
GAUGAAGAACGUAGCGAAAUGCGAUAAGUAGUGUGAAUUGCAGAAUUCAGUGAAUCAUCGAAUCUUUGAACGCACAUUGCGCCCCCUGGUAUUCCGGGGGGCAUGCCUGUCCGAGCGUCAUUGCUGCCCUCAAGCACGGCUUGUGGGUUGGGCCUCCGUCCUCCUCCCGGGGGACGGGCCCGAAAGGCAGCGGCGGCACCGCGUCCGGUCCUCGAGCGUAUGGGGCUUCGUCACCCGCUCUUGUAGGCCCGGCCGGCGCUUGCCGACACAUCAAUCUUUUUUCCAGGUUGACCUCGGAUCAGGUAGGGAUACCCGCUGAACUUAAGCAUAUCAAUAAGCGGAGGA